rnacentral:rRNA from 1 species
AUGGUGGGACCAUUCAAGAUGGCCCGAGGCGGCCUAACUCAUCUGCUUGUCGCGCUGGACAAGUUCACCAAGUGGAUAGAAGCAAAGCCCAUCAAGAAGUUGAAUGGUCCGACUGCAAUGACUUUCAUCGCCGACAUCACGGUGCGGUACGGCAUACCGCACAGCAUCAUCACCGACUAUGGCACAAAUUUUGCCAAAGGCGCCUUGGCCCGUUUCUGCGCGACGCAGGGCAUCCGACUGGACUUAGCGUCCAUUGCCCAUCCGCAGUCAAACGGCCAGGUGGAGCGAGCAAACGGCCUCAUCCUGUCCGGCAUCAAGCCUCAACUGGUCGAACCACUCGAGCGUUCGGCUGGUUGUUGGCUUGAGGAGUUACCAUCCGUCCUCUGGAGUCUGCGCACGACUCCAAACAAGUCAACCGGCUUCACGCCUUUCUUCCUCGUCUACGGUGCCGAAGUCGUCAUCCCGACGGACAUAGAAUUCGACUCCCCGCGAGUCACCAUGUACACCGAAGAAGAAUCAGAAGAAGCGCGUCAAGACGGUGUUGAUCUGCUGGAAGAGGGCCGGCUGUUGGCACUCAGCUGGUCCAGCAUCUACCAGCAGAGUCUGCGCCGAUACUACAACCGGAAGGUCAGGCCGAGAUCUUUCCAAGAGGGCGACCUUGUGCUCCGGCUGAUUCAGCGAACUGCCGGCCAGCACAAGUUGUCGGCGCCUUGGGAAGGCCCCUUCAUCAUCAGCAAAGUGCUGGGCAACGACUCCUAUUACCUAAUCGACGCCCAGAAGCCCCGAGCAUGCAAGAGGGACGACUCCGGCAAAGAGUCAGAACGACCAUGGAACGCAAAUCUUCUCCGAAGAUUUUACAGUUGA